UGCAAAUCAAUAUAAAUUGAUUAAUAUUUAUUUAUUAAGUUUUUUAUUUAUUAAUUUAAUUUAUUAAAAAUAAUUAUAUAAUUAAGUGUUUUAGUAAUUUUUAAUGAAAAAAUAAUAAUAAUAAUAGUUUAUUAAGUAUUGUGAAAGAGUAUUGAAAAAAUUUGAAAAAUUUUUAUAAUAAAAGAAAAUUUAAUUUAUUGUACCUUGUGUAUCAGGGUUUAUUAAAUAAUUAAUAACUAUUUAUUAAUCUCGAUUUUAUAAGAGUUAAUGAUUUAUGAAAGUUAAUGUAUUAAAAUUAUUUUUAAUAAAUUAUUAGAAAUGAAAUGUUAUUCGUUUAUAAAGGUAUCUAGUUUUUUCAGAAAUAAAUUUAAUUUACAAAUUUUUAAUUUUUUAUUUAUUUAGUUAAUUAAAAAAAUUAUUAAUUUGAAUAUUUUAAGGGAUAAGCUUUAAAAUAAAUUAUUAAAAAUUAAUAGUUAUUAUAUAAAAUAUAUGCAUAGAAUUAGCAAUUAUUAAUAAGUUUGUUAUAAAUUAUUUUAUAAUUUAUAUUAUUUAUUUUAUUUUAAUUAAUUUAUGAAAAUUUUUUCAAUAAUGAUAAUUGAAAAGAAAUAAUGAUGAAAUUAGUAUAUUUUUUUUGUAUUAAUAAAUUUAUGUGAUAAGUUUAUAUAAAGAACUCGGCAAAAAUUUUACUCGCCUGUUUAACAAAAACAUGUCUUUUUGAGUUAUUUUUAAAGUCUAGCCUGCCCAAUGAAUAAUUUUUGAAUGGCCGCAGUAUUCUAACUGUGCAAAGGUAGCAUAAUCAUUAGUCUUUUAAUUGAAGGCUGGUAUGAACGGUUGGACGAAGUAUAAUCUGUUUCAUAUAAAUUUAUAAUAGAAUUUUAUAUUUUAGUUAAAAAGCUAAAAUUUUAUUAAAAGACGAGAAGACCCUAUAAAUCUUUAUAUUUAAUUUUAAAUAAAUUUUUUGGAUAUAUUUUAUUUUUUUGAAAUUAAAUAUUUUGUUGGGGUGAUGUUAAAAUUUAAUAAACUUUUAAUUUAUGAAGAACAUUAAUUUAUGAUAUAUUGAUCCAUUAAUAAUGAUUAUAAGAUUAAGUUACUUUAGGGAUAACAGCGUUAUUUUUUUGGAGAGUUCAUAUCGAUAAAAAAGUUUGCGACCUCGAUGUUGGAUUAAGAUAUAAUUUUAGGUGUAGCUGCUUAAAUGUUGAGUCUGUUCGACUUUUAAA
rnacentral:rRNA from 1 species